rnacentral:lncRNA from 1 species
CUUACCUGGGCCCUGGAGUGCCGGGGACCACAUCUGGGAAGCGUCCGAGGACACGUGGGGCAGGAGUGGAGGGCACCCCUUUGGGUCGAUUUGUGCAGCUCGAUUUCAUUAAGUGACUGGUGUGAGUUGUGAUAAAGACAAUUCCGUUUAGGUUUCCAAGCUGCGUCCUGGGCCUGGAGACUGAGACAGAGAUCCACGGACUGCAGUGCAGGCAGCCCACCCCAGAUCCGAGUCAUAUAAGGUUGAAAUAUCAGUAAAAAACAUGCAGACCCAAAGAUGGGGACCAAAAUCCAAAGCCAGAGGGUCCUGGAAAUCAGAGGGUCUUACAACAUAACAGGCAGUACAGGCCAUGGCUCAGGCUAGGCGUGGAACAGACUGCAGUUCUCUUCUACAAAUCAAUCUAGACUGGACAGACAGAACUCCAAG